GAUGAACGCUGGCGGUAUGCUUAACACAUGCAAGUCGAACGGAAUCUUUCGAGAUUUAGUGGUGGACGGGUGAGUAACACGUGAGAACCUACCUUCAGAACGGGGAUAACAGUUGGAAACGACUGCUAAUACCCGAUGUGCCGAAAGGUGAAAGAUUUAUCGUCUGAAGAAGGGCUCGCGGCUGAUUAGCUAGUUGGUAAGGUAAAGGCUUACCAAGGCGACGAUCAGUAACUGGUCUGAGAGGAUGAGCAGUCGCACUGGAACUGAGAAACGGUCCAGACUCCUACGGGAGGCAGCAGUGGGGAAUUUUCCGCAAUGGGCGAAAGCCUGACGGAGCAAUACCGCGUGAGGGAGGAAGGUUCUUGGANNGUAANCCUCUUCCUAGGGAAUAAAA
rnacentral:rRNA from 1 species